CUUACGUUGAAACACCGGCUCCCGUACGAUCACAGAGGUUAAUCAACGUCGGACCUGGCCAGUACCUAGAUGGAUGACUGCUUGCGAAUACCAGGUGUUGUAA